AUUGAACGCUGGCGGCAUGCCUUACACAUGCAAGUCGAACGGUAACAGGUCUUCGGACGCUGACGAGUGGCGAACGGGUGAGUAAUACAUCGGAACGUGCCCAGUCGUGGGGGAUAACUACUCGAAAGAGUAGCUAAUACCGCAUACGAUCUGAGGAUGAAAGCGGGGGACCUUCGGGCCUCGCGCGAUUGGAGCGGCCGAUGGCAGAUUAGGUAGUUGGUGGGAUAAAAGCUUACCAAGCCGACGAUCUGUAGCUGGUCUGAGAGGACGACCAGCCACACUGGGACUGAGACACGGCCCAGACUCCUACGGGAGGCAGCAGUGGGGAAUUUUGGACAAUGGGCGAAAGCCUGAUCCAGCAAUGCCGCGUGCAGGAUGAAGGCCUUCGGGUUGUAAACUGCUUUUGUACGGAACGAAAAAGCUUCUCCUAAUACGAGAGGCCCAUGACGGUACCGUAAGAAUAAGCACCGGCUAACUACGUGCCAGCCGCCGCGGUAACAC
rnacentral:rRNA from 1 species